rnacentral:lncRNA from 1 species
GCAGAAGAAGGAGAUUAAGGAUAUUUUGGUUAGGUACGACAGGACUUUGCUUGUUGCUGAUCCGAGAAGGUGUGAACCUAAGAAGUUUGGUGGUCGUGGUGCUCGUGCUAGGUUCCAGAAAUCUUACCGUUAAAAUUCCUAUUUCGAUUUAUGGUAUCUGUUUUUAUCCCUGUUGGUAUGGUUUUGGUUUAGGAAUCAUUAUGGAUUUACUGCUAUCUGAGAAAGUUUUGGAUUUGGAUAAACUUUAAUAUAGCUGUUUCACAUGCUAUGAAAUAUGAAUGCAAUGAAUUGUGCUUUUAUUUGCAUAUGUAGAAUUUUUGUUAUGCAAUGUGGCCUACUUGUAGCUAAAUUGAUAUUUUUGUUAAUGAGGAACUGGAGAAAAGGUUAUUCCCCUUGAGAAAAGGCGUAGGGAACAUUAUCCUGCAAUAUUGAAAAUGUAUAUUCAAUUAGUUUGUAAUGGUUGUCAGUUCCCUUAAUGACUCUUUCUAUUCUUGUAAAUUAUCAUAUUUAUAUAUAUAUGGAUUAGUCUGAGAUUAGGAGACCCUUAAUUUGCCUUGAAAGAAAAAUUAUUAGUAUUUGGAUGAGAGAGCAGAACAAUAUAGAUGAUCCAUGUGUGCUACCUUUUCAUGAGUUUUCAGGUGAUAAAAGGGUUCCCUUCAUGCUAUAACUUGUUUUAUCCUAUGCUAGUUAAGUGGAUUGAUUUAUGGAUAUAAAAAUGAAGAUUUGACAAAGAAGCAGGGAAUGCACUACUAACUUGUGUUAAUAUGCUUAAACUUUGGUUCACUCUGAGUUAUGAAAAAAGUCAUAUAUGCUUAAUUCUAGGAAACCUGUAGCUUCUUCUGACGGAGUUUACUAUCUAUACUAAUGUCUAGGACAUAAGAAUCCAACGUCCUUGAAACGUGUUAGGAUAUGGAGUUUUUUCUCACUUUUGAUGUGAAGAAAAAUAGGAUGUAGCAACUAGCCCAUUACAUAACAAGUUGCUCCACCGUCUCAUUACCAUGAAUUUACAACCUUCAAGUAUAGGUGCCCAAUUUACAGCACCAUAUUGGGUUCAGGAAAGUACUAAGUUCUUUGCCAUGACUUCCUUUACUGAAAACCUUUUCCAUUUGUUGGCCUAUUGGCUCUUCCUCAGUUCCUACCACACUUGGGCAGAUUGUUCUGUUUUAUCAUAAUUAAUUCUUAUUUGUAUUUGUUCGUCCGACAUAUUCCUUGGUGGAGUUAAAGAUGUUAGAUCUCAUUUUUCCUGUAGUAAUGUGUUGAAACAAGUUAAUUGAGUUUGCAGUCCAUCUUUUUGGUGAUAACGCUAAGAAGCUCGAUACUGGGAUUUGUGCAGUUGCAUACUUCUUUCCCUAUGGCUUAUUGAUGAAUUUAACCAAGUAGCUUGAGUUUUGCUCAAUAAUGCUUGUCUAGUUACUUUGGACUACAAUCUUUGUUUUUGGUUAUUACUUUAGCACACAAUUUAUCUAAUACUCAGUGAUUCCGCUGCCAAAUUCAGUCUCUUUGAUGAACCCAGAUUAAAUCUAGAGCUAUGAACUAACCAUCUCAACUCAUGUAAGUCCAUUGGUGGGAUUCAGAAUCCCCAUACUUCCAUAUGACUUCAGGUGUAUUUACUUAUUUUGCCAUAAAGUUCAAUUGGCUUUUGGGUUUAGAUUAGGGGUGCUUAUCGGGCGGAUAUUUAUGCUUCGGCUUAUCGGUUAUCGGAUUAUAAAUGUAGUAAUCCGCUAGCCAUCCAAUAAGACAACAGGCGGAUUGGUAUCGGAUUAAUGGUUAUCGGGCGGUUUAUUGGCUAAAUCAUAUCGAUUUUUUUUGAAUAAUCAUUCAAUCAAUACCAAACACAUCUAAUAAUAUUUUUGAAUUGAAGAGUCUUCUUCCAAGUUCAAAUCUAGUUCAUAUUGAAGAAUUCUCAUACACGUAUCAAUCAAUCAAAUUUUCUGCAACAUUCGUUCUUCACAAGAAAUCUAGAUUGUAAAACUAAAAAUCUAGAAAAUCGGACUUCAAUUUGUUAGAUUCAUGCAAAAAGGACAUAAAAUCAGACAAUUUCAAUUGUACUUUAUCUAUAUAUGAGUAAACGUGUAAAUAUAAAAUUUUUUAAUGGAUUAACGGUUACUCGGUAAGAAAAUUGAGUAAUCCGCCCCCAAACCGUUAUGCCGUUUAUUAUAAAAUCUCAAUUUGUUCACCAUCCAUUACCCCGAUAAUCCGAUAUCAAUAAGCCAAUAAGCCAUCGGUUCGGUUCGUUUUGAACAACCCUAGUUUAGAUGCACAAAAUGGAAAGAAAGACAGAAUAGCCUAGGAAACACGUGUACUUGUUUCAAUUUGACAUCUCAGUCCCUGUAUUCCAUACAGUUUCAUCCGGAUACCUGAACUCGAUCAAAACUAAUAUUUUAAACACUUCCGACCAUGUGUGUUAUUCGCUAUCCCUAAUAUGGAGGACACAUCAGAUCCACCUAGAUAAAUAAUAUCCAUAUCAUAAUUUGCUUUUACAAAAAUUUACUGUUUAAUAAAGAAGAGUGAAAGCAAGAAAGAGUUGAGUGUAGAGAAGUUGAGACAGUUCGAAAAACUGUGAAGUGUAAAGAAGAAUGAGGUGUAUAAGUAAAGGAAUAGGCGGCUAAAAUCGUGGCCAUGAUUACCUCGAGAACAGACGAAAGUAUUGCAUCGUGGAGUGAUGCGUGUUCAGGGCAUUAAAUGCAGAGAGACGUGCAUCUAAUCAAGCGUCAGAAACUUUUCAGAGAGAUAAGAAAAUUUUCCGCCAAGAAAGGUAUCUUCAUCAACUUCCCGAUGAUACAAAGAUAUGCCACCGAAAAGCAGGGGGACUAUCUGUAUAGGUUAAAAUCGGUUCGUAUUAAAUACUCGUAUAAUAGAGAGACACGUGGAACCAGAGACAGACAGAAAGCGAGACAAGUGGAAAACAAGACCGGGGGCAACAACUUCGGUUUGCACCGAAAAGACCCCGAAGGGAAUAUUGCUAAUGAAGACAAACAAAUAUCUGCCACCCGAUAGCAUUCAAUGAAGAGUAUUCUACAGUAUUAAAUACACAGUUCGUUAUAAAUAAUUUUGGCAUUCAUAGUGUGUCGUUACACAUUCGUCAAUGGACCCCAUAAUUGUCAUUUAAGAGGGGCUUGAUCCUAGGACUUUGUUCCCUAUGUACAGUUAUAAAUAGUGACUUCAACAGCCAUUGUAAGGGACACAAAUUAUGUGGCAAACUUAUGCUACAUACUAUUCGAAAAGCUCAAUACUACUUUAUUUCAUGUCUAUUGAUAUUCUUGUUAAUGCCUUCAGAAGCCCUGCUCCCUAUAACGACCCGAUCGGUUAUUUUGCUUUCCAAAUCUUCGUUCCUCUAAUUAAGACUCCCCGUAUGUGCUUUUACUAUUUUAUGACCCGUGGGGAUGGUCGGUUUAGGUUUAGAAGAGUUCGGGUUGGAAUCAGAACUCUUAAUUCCUUAAUAGUAGUAUAUAAUGGUUAAGUUUGACUUGAGUUAACGUUUUGAGUAAACGACCCCGGAACCGGGAUUUGACGGUUCCAAUAGGAUUGCAUAAUGAUUUUGGACUUGGGCGUGUGUUUGGAUCGGGCUUCGGAUGAUGUGAAAGCGUUUCGACGCUUAAUAUUGAAAGUUGGCGCAUUGAAGGUUUUUCAAGUUCUUUUAUUUUGGUUUGGAGUAGACUUUGGGGUUAUCAAGGUCCAUUUGGGAUUGCGAGCCUCAUAAUGGUUCCGUAUGGUGAUUUAUGACUUGCACGCAAAAUUUAGUGUCAUUCAGAGUAGUCUAGGUAUGAUUCGGCGUGUUCGGAGUAAGUUAAAAAUCUUGAAGUUCAUAGAUUUGAUUCGAAUUGGUUUUGGGGUGCAAUUCUUAGUUUUGAUGUUGUUUUACACGUUUUGAGGGUUCGAGCGAGUUUGUUUUAUGUUUACGAGCUUGUUGGAAUGUUUGGACGAGGCCCAGGGGCCUCGGGUGCUAUUCGGACGAUGCGCGGAGCAUGUUUGAACUUGGAAGAUUUGCUGAAGCAUCUGGGAUCUGGUUCAAUCGCACAUGCAUGGAAAGAGCCGCAGAUGCGAGCUCACAGAAGCGGCCUGGAGUAGGCUGGACAGUGGUCACAUAAGCGUAGUGUUUACUGCACAUGGGAGCUCGCAGGUGCGAGGAAAGGAUCGCAGAUGCAGGCGAGGCCAAAGAGGCCUGGCAUCGCAGCAGCGGAAGUUACUCCGCAGGCGCGAUUGAACAGAUGUGGCAAAUUUCGCAGAUGCGCAUGCGCAUGCUUCUCCGCAGAAGCGAACUUUGCCAAAAUUGGUGAUAACCGCACAUGCGAUGGAUUUUUCGCAAGUGCGACGUCACAGGUGCACCCCAAGGUCCGCUGGAGCGGAAAUCUCUUGGCAGUGAGGCCUUUUAAUCCGAGACUUAGGCCAUUUUUCCUCUCAUUUCAUUUGGUCUUGGGAGAUUUUGAGAGCACAUUUGAGGGGGAUUCAAAUCAAUAUCAUAAGGUAAGUAUCUCCCACCCAUUUUCAAGUUAAUUAUGUGGAUUUUAGGUAGAUUAAACAUGGAAGAACCUAAGGUUUUGGUAAAUUUGGGAUUUAAUCACGAAUUUGGUGAUGGAAAUGGGAGCAAAUUAUAUAUAUUUAGGUUCGGGAGUUCAUGGGUAACAUUUAUCUUCGAAGAUUUUCGGAAUCCGGGCACGUGAGCCCGGGGGUAAAUUUUAGGAAUCUUCCAAUUUGGGUUGGGUAAUUACUCUAAUAGCUAAAGUAUGAACGUUUAAGCAUAUAUUCACUAGUUUAUACGACUUUUGAUUAGUUUCGGAGUUCUCAAUGUUGUUUGGAGAGUCCUAGUGAGGUUGGAGAGCCAAAUUGAGGACUUGGAACCGAGGUAAGUCUCUUGCCUAACUUUGUUAGAAGGAAUGUAUCCCCUUAGGCGUAUUAUUGUUAUGUACUACUUGUGUGGGGAGCUACGUACGCACGAGUUGACGAGAGUCCGUACAUAGCUAUAUUUCAUGAUAUGUGUGGGUAGACUUAGAUUUACAUCAUGCUUUUUUGUAAGGGUGUUUAACGGGUGGGGCAGGCCGGUCCGGGUUGGGAAACAAAGUGACCGACGGGUUUCCAAUCCGGGCCGGUUACGAGUUUUUUAAUACCGGGCUUAACGGGUCCGGGUUCAUCCGGGUAAAAAAUAAACCGGAAGGGUUACAGGUCCAAGGGGCCGGGCCGGGUUAGUGUUAUUUUUUUUUAUAUUUUGUAUAACUAUCGUAAUUUAUAUUAAUAUAAAGUAAAAAUAUAAAAUAAAAAAAUAAUCUUAUAAAAAGAGUGUUUGGAUAAAAGGAUGCAAAGACUUUAAAAUAUUUAUAUUUGAAAUUUUGAAUAUUUCAUUAAGAAUUUAAGAUAAUAGAAUACAAUGAAGAUGGAAAAAAAAUUGCACUUAUAAUUUGCAAGUGCAUUUUUUAUUUCAAACUUACAAAUUGAAGUUUACAUUUAACAACAAGUAAAUUAACAAAAAAAGAGUAAAUUCAAAGGUUUUGCAUUGCCUUAGUAAGUUCUUCAUAAUCAAUAUGAACAUCUUGGCCAUCUUCCGGAGUGUUAAAUUCGGAUGGGUUACCAUGUAUUAAUAUAUCUCCAAGUUCUUCGUCUUCUAGUCUAUCAACAUCUUCACGCCCUUGAUUUCUUCAUUUUAUCAUGUUUCAUAAGUCCUCCAGUACUAGGGUUUAGAGUUCCUUUAUUUUGAUCUAAAUCAUAGCCUCAUUCUAUAGGAUGCUCAAUUCUCAUAUGUCUACUAAGUGUCCCAGUCCCCCCUAAUUGUCCUCCAGNNNNNNNNNNNNNNNNNNNNNNNNNNNNNNNNNNNNNNNNNNNNNNNNNNNNNNNNNNNNNNNNNNNNNNNNNNNNNNNNNNNNNNNNNNNNNNNNNNNNNNNNNNNNNNNNNNNNNNNNNNNNNNNNNNNNNNNNNNNNNNNNNNNNNNNNNNNNNNNNNNNNNNNNNNNNNNNNNNNNNNNNNNNNNNNNNNNNNNNNNNNNNNNNNNNNNNNNNNNNNNNNNNNNNNNNNNNNNNNNNNNNNNNNNNNNNNNNNNNNNNNNNNNNNNNNNNNNNNNNNNNNNNNNNNNNNNNNNNNNNNNNNNNNNNNNNNNNNNNNNNNNNNNNNNNNNNNNNNNNNNNNNNNNNNNNNNNNNNNNNNNNNNNNNNNNNNNNNNNNNNNNNNNNNNNNNNNNNNNNNNNNNNNNNNNNNNNNNNNNNNNNNNNNNNNNNNNNNNNNNNNNNNNNNNNNNNNNNNNNNNNNNNNNNNNNNNNNNNNNNNNNNNNNNNNNNNNNNNNNNNNNNNNNNNNNNNNNNNNNNNNNNNNNNNNNNNNNNNNNNNNNNNNNNNNNNNNNNNNNNNNNNNNNNNNNNNNNNNNNNNNNNNNNNNNNNNNNNNNNNNNNNNNNNNNNNNNNNNNNNNNNNNNNNNNNNAAAUGAGAGAAGAGUGAAGAAAUGAAGAAAAGGGGGGGGGAGAGGGGGGAGGGGGUGUAUUUAUAGUUUUUUAAAGGGCUAAAUUAGUAAUUACUAAAAGUGUUAUUUUUAAAAAAAUAUUCCACAAAAAAGGGCAAUUUUUGCAAUCCACCUAUUGGGCAACGGCCAAAUUGAAGCUGACUGUUGCCAACAGUAAUUUCACUUUAAAAAAAAAAUCAGAUUCAUAGCCGUUGAACCGGUCCGGGGCGGUUAACCGGUUCAACAGUAAUUUUCGUUGACCGGGUUUGACCGGUCCGGUUAGCUGGAUUUUAUUUUAUAAAUGGAGCAACCCCCCUAACCCAUCCCACCCAACCCCCUAACUACCGGUCCGAAAACGGGUCAACCCGACCCGUUUAACAUGCUUUUUUUUUGGUACUGUUUAUGCCCAUCAUGUGUAUUAAUUGUCUUGAUUAGAGCUGAGACUGGGGAUUUAAAUUGGAAUUAUCGACUUAGCUUCGUUUUUUAGAAAACUGGGAAUACUUGAUAAACUACUGAAAAUUCAUGUCUGCUCCUCUCGCAAGUACUUCCGCGCGCAAGGUAAAUUUUCUACUCAAAUGGGAUCGGGCCAUUCGCCUCGACAGUAUGAUAACACCACUCUUAUGGGAUCAGAUCGUUCGCCUCGACAGUAUGAUAACACCACUCUUAUGGGAUCGGGUCGUUCGCCUCGGCAGUAUGAUGGUAACACUAUUCUUAUAGGAUCGGGUCGUUCGCUUCGGCAACUUCAUACUUAAUAAUUGAAAUGGGUUCUGGUACAGGUAUAAUUGUGUUAGCACCUUCAUGGCUAGUCAUGAGAUGUUGGGAAUGUGAUACAUACUCCUAAUCUUAUUUAUGGUUGUUGCUCUUAUUUGUUUUAUUGAUACUUAUUAUAUACUCUCCAUGUCUACUUUAUGCACUUAUAUUAUUGUUAUUGACCUCUAGUAAGUGUCAAGUCGACCUCUCAUCACGUCUUCUUCAAGGUUAGACUAGAUACUUACUGGGUACGCAUUAUUUUUUGUACUCGCGGUACACUUAUGCACUGAUGUGCAGGUACUGAGACAGGUUCUACCAGUGGUCAUGCGGGCGCGUAAUCGAUCAUCUAAGGGGACUUAGAGGUGAGCUGCUUGCCUUGACUCGAUCCGCAACACCGGUGUCUCCUUCUACUUUAUUUAUCAUUCCUGUCUAUCACUUUUGGACAGUGGUCAGUAGUUUUGUAUAUUCUCUAGAUUUGCUCAUGUACUUGUGACGCUGGGUUUUGGAAAUUUGUAGCAUUUAUGUACUGUUGUACUCAUCAUUUCUAUCAUCGCAGAGUAUCUACUUAUUAUGUUGGCAUUUUAUUUAAAAAAAACUUGUCACUGUUGCAUGAAAUCUUGUUUAAAUUGUUCUCUAAAAAGGAAAACUUCUACAUUAAAUUGUUAAAGAGGGGUAAAUAGUAGUUACACUUGUGGGCUUGCCUAACAGCGACGUUAGGUGGAGUCUCGACCUAUUACGGAUUUGGGUCGUGACAGCUUGGUAUCAGAGCUUUAGGUUCACAUUGGUCUCACGAGUCAUGAGCAGGUCUAGUAGAGUCUUGCGGAUCGGUGCAGAGAUGUCUGUGCUUAUUUUCGAGAGGCAAUAUGGUGUUAAACUUCUUUUUCUUCAUCUCCUAUCGUGCAAUUGAUAUUAUACUAAGUGUCUUUUUAUUUAUCUCUCACAGAUUGUGAGAACGCGCGCGACAAAUGUACCAAACGGUCGAGGGACUGUUCUCCCCAUUGCUAGAGGCCGGGGAGGGCUCCAGCUACAGUUAAAGGUCGAGGGCGCCCUAGGGUUGCUCCUGUUGUACCAACAAUGGAUUCAAUGAAGGAUCCUGUUGUUGAGGAGCAGAAUGAGGCAUCUGCAGCUGUGCCAGCCCCAGCAGAUUUCAUGACUGUGCCGGGAUUCCAGGAGGUCAUGGGCCGUAUGUUGCGGUUCAUGCACUCUAUGAUGCAGGCUAGUUUAUUUCUAGCGGACCCUGUUAGAUCUCAGGCGGGAGGGAGAGCACAGACCCCUACCUCUUAGGCUCUAGGGCACGCCACUGUCGUUUAUUAGACCCCAGGUGCACUACUUGCGGGUGGAGCCCAGCCUGUUGCAGCGGUUAUGCCAGCGGUUGUAUCAGUAGUGACCAUUGAUCAGCAGAAGCGACUGGACAGAUGGACUAGGCUUCUCCCCUACCUUUGGGGGUGAGCGGUCAAAGGACCCCUAGGAUUUCAUUGACCGAUGCAAGGAUAGGCUCUAGAACAUGGGGAUAUUAGAGUCCAAUAGGGCGGACUUCACCACUUUUCAGCUUGAGGGAAAGGCCCUGUCACACCCCAAACUCGGGGAGCGCGACCGAUGCUCAACCGAGAGAACCCGACCGAGCAAGCCUGCUAGAUUUCCUUCUACCCAAACUCAUCCAUGUAUAAAGAGGAGAUGUACUCCAUUAAUUAAACACUUGAAAAGAUUUUAUUAACAACAUCCUUUUCAUUCCCAUUAGCAGCUUCAUACACAAUUUCCAAAAUAUUACGAGUUUAUAGAAUUAAUGAAAAACAUGAUUUCCAAAUACCAACAUUUCUAGUUCAAUUCCUAACAUCAACCACAACCCACAACCUGUCUACGGAGCCUCUAAGUACAAUAAAAGAAUAAUAUGGAAAUGCCGACAACAAGGCCCCGGCUAUACCUCAAAAUACAGUACAUGAGAAAUAAAAGAUACAUGACCCCAAAAUGAAGUGGGGCUCACUAAAUCAGCUGAAAAGAGUGUGCUGCUAUCACUGAUCAAUGCCGCCUGCUGUAGAACUACCUGCAUCCAUUUAAAGAUGCAACGUCCCAGCAAAAAGUGACAUUAGUACUGUCGAAUAGCACUAGUAUGUAUAGCUAAAAGUCCUCUUUCAAAAUAGAAUGCCCAUAUAAAUAAAAAGGCAAUACAUAGAAAUAACAAGUCACAAUCAAUAAUAUCCAAAUGUCUAGUUAAAAUAUAAUAAUUUUCAAAAUACGAACUUCAUAUAAAAUUUUGGUUGGGAGAUCAUUAGCACCGAUAUACCACCGUCUUUGUUAGCACGGAGUCCGAUCACGCCCGAUUGGCUAGGUCAUCUCCCCACGGACAAUGUGGUUUGACAAGUGAUGCGAAAGAAAGUUGUUACCAAGAGUAGUACCACCAUAUGCGCAAUAUGACGUCUAAUCUCCACCCGAUCAGCUAGGCCUCCUUCCCACAUAUGCCGUGUGGGUUGACUUUUCCAAUCCACAAAGGUUCCUGUUUCAUCCCAAUUUAGGGAAAUAAUAUCACAAUUUCCCAAAGAUUCUAAUUUCAUCCCAAAUAAGGGGAAUAAUCACAAUCCACCCCUACACCGGCACGUGUAGUUUCAGGUGUGAGCCUUAUGACCCACCCUUCCUCGGUUUAGCUAAUGAUGCUCCCAAAAAUAUUUUUGAUUUGAUUUGCACACAGAGAUAUCAUAAAUAUAAUUGUACUCACCUCAACAUCUUUCACAUUGUAUAAAUUCUCAUUAGUAUUUCCAGUCAUUCAUAACGAUAAUAUUUCCUUGGCUCAUUAGGCCAUCCACAAGAUUCUUUAUUCCUGGCACGAUGGCCUUAUUUCAUAUUCCACACUUUCACCUCUUUCAAUUUCAAGAUCACCAUCAAAUAUCAACAUAUAGAAUAUUUCAGAAAUUACAACUUUAAGUUCAUUAGAAAUGAACAAUUUAAGCACAAUAGAUUUCUUUCCGAAAAAUGGAGUAAAAUAAUUAGCAAUUGAUGCGCAAGUUCAAAUCAUCAACAUGUGACACCCCAUUUAUUCUUGAAAUACUUUUCCCCAAAAAGGGAAAUACACAAUUUCCACUCACGAACAUGUAAGAAUGCAAAACACAUUGAAAAUACUCACAAAGCAUAGUAUUUGUUAAAACAACCACAUAUGGCAUAACUUGAGUACAAAAGCCUUUAGGCAAUUCUAUUUUCGAAAUCGUUUUCAAACAAUCGAUUCGAGGCUCAUUUCAUAUUCUUUAUUUCAUUCUCUCAAAUCAUUUGCACUACUAGCCACAUUCGUAACUUAAAUUCUUGGCACAUUGGCCACACACUAUAUUUCCAAUUCAAUUAUUUUAUUUCCAACCACCUUUAUAGGUUAUCAACAAUAAUACAUUUCCAAUCAAGAUUUUAGGUACACAUAUGAGCAAUUACGAGUCUUAAGAAUAUUGAGAUUUUCUCACACAAUUUGGCAUACUAGCUUUCAUUUGAAAUACGAUUCAAAGCCACAACAUUUUAAUACGUAACCCAUACUUUGAAUCUCACGGGAACAUUAUGGAGUUCGAUUCCAAAAGAGAAAGUUUAGCCAACAUACCUCAAUCGAGCUUCCUUAACUCUAAAAUAUUCCGGAAAUUCUUAGCAAUCCCGAUCUAUUUUGAGACAUAACAAAAUUAAACCAUAAUUAGGAAGAUAUUCAUGGUCUCAGCUCAUUUGAGCAUUUUAUCAAACACUGUGCAAAUUUAACUAUAAGGUUCUUCUACAAGAUUUCCUUCACUCUAGAACCCAAUCCUUACUUAUUUAAGCUCAACAAUCUUCCCACAAUUAUUAUUGGUACAUGCAUAUAUAAAUAAUGCUCUCAUACCCAUGAAUCAUACUCCUAAUCAACUAUCUUAUACCCAAAUUCGAAAUUGAAAACUAGGGUAUGGAACCUUACCUCUUAGAUGAAGAACUUGUGGAUUUUCCUUGUUAAUCUUCCAAGAUUUGAGCAAGACUUGAUGAAUAAUUAGCCUAGGGUUUCCUCUCUCAAACACUCUCCCUUCUUUCUAAAACAUCAGAAUUUUUUUUUUCAAAAAUGACCCUUUGCGUGUAUUUAACGAAGUUGGGUCGGGUUGUAAAAACCCAAAAAUAGAGCUCCGGAACAAGUUCUGCGGUCGUAUAAUUUCUGAACAAAAUGACCAAAAAUCUACCUGAGUCUACGGUCACUAUGCGGUCGCAUAGUCGACCGCAUAAUUGCUUCCAUACUGACCCUCUUCUGCCCCACUUCUGCGGCCAUUAUGCGGCACGCAGAGUGAUUCUGCGGUCGCAUAAUGGAUCGCAGAAACGCAUUUUUCCGCCAAAAAUUUUCCUUUACUUUCCGGUAUAUUGUUCAACCCAAAAGGUCUGAACCGCGGUUCACAAGCUCGCCGCAAAGAUUUUAUAAAAUCCUCAAAUACGUAAGCCUACUCCGGCACCACGAAACCUUGAAUUCAUUUGCGAAAUUUAUGGGGCUUUACAAUGAAAUACUUUGAAAUUUUCCGGGGUGUUAUAGGCCCGUAGAUUGUGGUAGGCUUACCUUCUUAGCAGGCUAGGAGGUUCACCUCCCUUGACUUGGGAUCAGUUUACACAUCUGUUCUUAGAGAAGUACAUACCACCUUCUGAGAGAGAUGAGCUUAAGGGUCGGUUUGAGCGACUCCGUUAAGGUCACAUGUCUGUCACCGACUAUGAGGCAAGAUUCACUAACUUGUCUCGCGAUGCAGCUAUUAUACUCCUCAGUGACGUAGAGAGGGUGUGGAGGUUCAUUGCAGGUCUACAUCUUGAGAUUAAGGUACUUAUGGCUCGUGAGGCAGAGAUGGGGACUUCUUUUCUUCAGGCUAUGGAUAUAGCUCGGAGGAUCGAGCGUAUUCGCAACCGCAGUGGAGAGUUUGCGUCGAGGGACAAGCGGCCCCGACAGUUUGGAGGAUUCAAUGGUGUCCCACAUGGGGUUAGAGGUCAGUUCAUGAGGGGUCAACCCAGCAGGCCCAUGCAGUCAGCACCACCGCCUGUUCGGAGUGCUCCGGCACAAUCCUAUUUCAGUGUCAUUUCAGAGAGUACUUACCGCCUGCCAGCUAUUUAGGGUUUCGCCAGUGGGUAUUCAGUCCAUCUGGGUCAUUUUUUAGGUCAGCAGUCCACUUUUUUGAGGGGUUGUUUCGAGUGCAGAGAUCUUGGCCACGUGAAAAGGCUUUGUACUAGACUUUGGGGCAAGGCUGAGCAACAUGAUUAUUGGCCCAUAUUUACCGCACUAGCUACCGCAACGCCCGCCCGUCCGGCCAGAGGCAGAAGGCAAGCGGCCAGGGGUCAUCCUAGAGGUGGAGGCCAGUUAGGUGGUGCUCCGGCUAGAUUCUAUUCUAUCUCUGCUAGGCUAGAGACAAUCGCCUUUGAUGCAGUGAUCACAUAUACUAUUUUUGUUUGGCGGAGGGAUGCCUCAGUAUUAUUUGAUCCAGGGUCUACUUACUCCUAUGUUUCUUCUCUAUUUGCUCCUUAUUUGGAUCUGUCUCGCGAGUUCUUGGGCGUUCCUGUAUAUGUGUCCAUGCCAGUGGGUGACUGUUGUUGUGGAUUGGGUCUACCGAUCUUGGGUGGUGACUUUCUGUGGAUAUGAGACCCAAGCGGGUCUUCUAUUGCUCGAUAUGGUUGAUUUCAAGGUUAUCUUGGGCAUGGAUUGGUUUUCCCCGUACCAUGCCAUUCUUGAUUGCCAUACCAAGACUGUUACCUUGGCGAUGCCUGAGUUGCCCAGAUUAGAGUGGACAGUGGCGAAGCUAGAAAAUUCAACAAGGGUGUUUAAACCUUUGCCAGUGGGCUAUGUAAGGGUGUUCAAAGUCUAUUUUUAAUCAAUAACAAGUAAUAUUUUACCUUAUACGGAGUAUAAUUUUUUGGCGAAGGGUGGUCAGUUGACCACCCUUGGUUGCAUGUAGCUUCGCCCCUGAGAGUGGAGGGGUUCGUCUAUCGGUACUUUCAGCCAGGUUAUUUCUUUUUUUAAGGCUCGACAUAUGAUCGAGAAGGGUUGUUUGGCCUGCUUAGCCUUUGUUCGGGACGCUGCUGUAGAGAUUCCCACUUUAGAUUUAGUGCCGGUGGUACGAGAGUUUUCCGAUGUAUUUUCGACUGAUCUACUAUGUAUGCUUCCAGAUCGGGAUAUCAAUUUCAGCAUUGAUUUGGUGCGGGACACCCAACCUAUUUCUACCUCGCCUUAUCAUAUGGCUCCCAAGGAGCUGAGAGAGUUAAAGGAGCAUCUUCAGGAGUUGCUUGAGAAGGGGUUCAUUAGACCUAGUGUGUCGCCUUGGGGCGCACCAAUGUUGUUUGUGAAGAAGAAAGACAAGAGUAUGCGGAUGUGCAUUGAUUACCACUAGUUGAACAAAGUCACCAUCAAGAAUAAGUACCCGUUUCCGCGCAUUGAUGAUUUUUUUGACCAAUUUCAGGGUGGCAGGGUGUUCUCUAAGUUCGACUUGAGAUUUGGGUAUCAUCAGCUGAAGAUUCGUGCUUCAGAUAUUUCGAAGAUGGCCUUCCAGACUAGAUAUGGUCACUAUGAGUUUUUGGUGAUGUCCUUCGGCUUGACUAACGCCCCGACGACAUUAUUGGAUUUGAUGAACUGAGUGUUCAUGUCGUAUCUUGAUUCAUUUGUCACUGUCUUCAUUGAUGACAUAUGAUCUACUCGCAUAAUAUGGAGGAGCAUGAGCAACAUUUGAGAUUAGUGCUUCAGACCUUGCGGGAGUAGAAGCUUUAUGCUAAGUUCUCCAAGUGUGAGUUCUGGUUGGAUUCCGUGGCUUUCUUGGGGAAUGUUGUAUCAGGUGGUGGUAUUAACGUGGAUCCCAGGAAGAUUGAGGCAGUCCAGGGUUGGUCGUCCUACCACGGCAACUGAGAUUAGGAGUUUCAUGGAGUUAGCUAUGUAUUAUCGUCAGUUCGUGAAGGGUUUCUCGUCUAUUGUAGCGUCUUUGACUAGAUUGACCCAAAAGGGUGCUCCGUUCAGAUGGUCCGAUGAUUUUGAGGCGAGCUUUCAGAAGCUCAAGGCGACUUUGACUACAACACCAAUUUUAGUGUUGCCUUCCGGUUCAGGGAUGUAUACUAUAUAUUGCGACGCUUCACGCAUUGUCCUGGGUUACUAAAGGACUAUGAUAUUACCAUCCUCUAUCAUCUGGGCAAGGCGAAUGUGGUUGCAGAUGCCUUAAGCAGAAAGGCUGAGAGUAUGGGUAGUUUGGCAUUUAUUUCAGUAGAGGAGAGGCCAUUGGCUUUGGACAUUCAGUCCUUAGCUAACAGACUUGUGAGGUUGGAUAUUUCUGAGCCCAAUCGAGUUCUUGCAUGCGUAGUGGCUCAGUCUUCAUUACUUGAUAUGAUCAAGGCUCGCCAGUACGAUGAUCCGCACUUGUUGGUUCUCAAAGAGACGGUACUACAAGGUGGUGCCAAGGAGGUUACUAUCGGAGAGGUUGGUGUUCUACGGCUCCAAGGUCGCAUGUGUGUUCCUAAUAUUGAUGGCUUGAGGGAGAUAAUUCUAGAUGAGGCGCAGCGUUCUCGGUAUUUUCUUCAUCCAGGGGCUACGAAGAUGUAUCGCGACCUGCGGCAGCAUUGUUGGUGGCGGUGAAUGAAGAAGGACAUAGUUGAGUAUGUGCCAAGAUGUCUAAACUGCCAGCAGGUCAAGUAUGAGCACCAGAGGUCAGGUGUCCUACUUCAGCAGAUGGUUAUACCAAAAUAGAAAUGGGAGCGCAUCACUAUUGACUUCGUUGUUGGGUUGUCGCGGACGUUGAGGAAGUUUGAUGUUGUUUGGGUCAUUGUCGAUAGGUUGACCAAGUCGGCACAUUGUAUUCUAGUGGUGACUACUUACACUUCAGAGAGGUUGGCCUACAUUUACAUUCAGACGAUUGUCAGGUUGCAUGGUGUGCAUGUUUCCAUCAUAUCAUAUAGAGGCCCUCAGUUUACUUCGCAUUUCUAGAGGGCAGUGCAGAGUGAGUUGGGUACCCGAGUAGAGCUCAGCCCAUCUUUUCAUCCGCAGACCGAUGAGCAGUCGGAGCGUACAGUUCAAAUUAUGGAGGAUAUGCUCAGAGCAUGUGUCAUUGACUUCAGAGGUUAGUGGGAUAGAUCUUUGCACUUGGCUGAGUUUGCUUACAACAACAGUUAUCAGUCCAGCAUCGAGAUGGCUUCAUUUGAGGCUUUAUAUGGUCGGCGAUGUCGUUUGCCCAUCGGAUAGUUUGAUCUCGGCUAGUGAAGGAUGUUUCAGGAGCAAUUUCGCACAACACAGUCCACGUAGAAGAGUUACAUGGAUCAGAAGGCGCGUGGUUUAUAAUUUAUGGUGGGAGAGAAGGUUCUCUUGAAAGUUUCGCCGAUAAAGGGAAUCAUGAGGUUCGGGAAGAAGGGCAAGCUGAGCCCAAGGUUUAUUGUGCCAUUUGAGGUGUUGAGGCGAGUUGGGGAGGGUGCUUAUGAGCUUACUUUGUCUCUUAGUCUAUCGGGAUAUCAUCUGGUCUUCCAUAUGUCUAUGCUCCGUAGGUAUCAUGCCAAUAGGUCGCACGUGCUAGAUUACAACAUGGUUCAGCUAGAUGAGAGCUUGGGUUAUGAAGAGGAGCCAAUCGCCAUCGUUGACAGGCAGGUUCACCAGUUGAGGUCCAAGAUGAUUGUUGCGGUAAAGGUCCAGUAGAGGGGUCAACCAGUCGAGGUAGUGACUUGGGAGGCCGAGGAAGACAUGAUAAGCAGAUAUCCGCACCUUUUCAGCACUUCAGGUAUGAUUCUAGACUCGUUCAUAUUAUUGUAUCCUAACAUGAGGACCUGCUCAUAUUAUGGUAAAAUGGCCUCCUGGCCACUUAAACUUGUACCCAAUUGUCAUGCCGGUAAAUAAACUUUCAAAAUUCCCAUAUGAAUACUUCAACUUGAGCAUAAGUGAACUAAUAAACACCUCCGACAGUUGAAUAAAUCUACGUGGCAUCAGUUAUUCCUAGUCAGUUGUUGUGUGUGUAAGACACACCUGGCAGGAGCGUGAAUGUUAUUUUUUCAAUGCCCAACGGUAAUAAAACCAAGGGCCCAUCUAUUUAGAGGGCUUUUUCUUACUCCUUUGGCCUACAACCUCCAUUUUUUACUUAUACAAGCUCCGAAUUUCUUCUUCUCUUCAAAUAUUUUACAGAUUCAAGUCAAUUUUUUUCUUCUCUAGGUUGAUAUUUUAUUCUUCAGGCCAAGAAUGCAAUGAAAAAUCGUGUAGUUUGUCAUUGUAGAGUUGACAUUGUUGUGUGUAUAACCUGGAAGCCCACCAAUCUGGGUAGAAGGUUCUUAGGAUGCUCAAAUUAUGGUACAACUAGUUGCUGUAAUUGUUUCAGGUGGGUUAACCCACCUUUUCUAGAUCAUUACAAAUAAGUAAUUUCGGGAUUGUUAUCAAGAAUUCGUGUCAAUGAGCAGCGAAGGAGUAGGGGAAAACAAUAUGUAAUUGCAUUUGUUAUUGCUGCACUGCUCUUUGUAGUGUUAUUCUUAACUUGGGAUCUUUGUAUUGUAUGAUUAUUCUUAACAAACAAUGACAAUGUCAAGUGUAUGAAGUAUUUUGCUGCAAUGAAAAGUGAUGUUUGACAUUAACAUCUGAACAUAUAUUAGACAAGUUCAAAACAACCAUUUUGAUUAUCAAAAGUACGCCAUCAAAUCUGCACACUAGCAGAAACCAGUUUACUAUUGUGCCUAAAACCAAACCAAAACAACAUUAACUAAGUUCUGAAUAUUUCAGACUAAAUCUUUCACAAAAUAAUUUACAAAUAAGUUUUGAUACUAACAGACUUAAACUUUCACAAAAAGAAAUAUUUCUUCAAAUCAUUAUGGCUUAGACAGGUUGAAGUUGGACUGAGAUUGGUUCAGGUUUGGUUGAGUUGAAGAAGGAGCUUCAGAUUGGCUUAGGGUUGCUUGAGUUUAUCUCCUUCUAGCCUGUUGUUGAAGCUGCAUUUAUGUUACUGCAUUUGUUCCUUUCUACCUUAGUCGAGAUGCUCUAUAUCCAAGAUCAAUAUUGGUCUGACUAGCACCAAUUAUUUGCCUAGGAUCAUGUGUGACUUUGUCCCUUAACCCAAACUACAUUCAAAUAGAAAUAAAAUUUCAAAACUUAGUAUAGUAAUUAGACAUAAUAAUUGGACAAAGUUUCACAUACUUACCCUUUCUAUGACUGUCCCUGAUUCACCAAACAAUAUUCCAAAUACAGCAGUCCUAGGCCUUCCACCUAAAGUUCUAAGAAUUUGUUGAGGAGUCCUUGAUCUUUCUUAUGUAGUUCUAGAUUGUUGUGUUCCUGAUCCACCAUCAUCAGUAGUUCUAGAAUUUCUUUGUGUUGUAGAUCUAGCUGUUGUAGUAGUAGUAGAUUAUUGUGCUGCAGAUCCACUACCAGCAAUAGUACCAGAAUGACCUCCUGAUGCAGUUGUAGUAGCCUGGACAUUUGCAGUACUACUCUCAGUACCAACAGUUGAACUUUGCCCUUUCUAAAACACCCAGAAUAUAAAAAAAAUUCAGCAAAAGACUAAAAAAUACUUAAAGCAUAAGGAGUAUUUGUUUCUUACCAGGAUUGCACAACCUUUCUUGUUGUCUUGCAAUGAGAACAGGUCAUUGGUGUCCCCUUCCUUGAUCUCUUACCAAAUUUCUUUGUAGGUUCAUCUUGAGCAUUCCUUCUAUGUUUCUUAGGUCUACCAGGUAUCUUAGUAAUUACAGGAGUCUCAACUUUGGGGUUUUGAGUUGGAGGCCAUAUCUCCAUGUUGAUCAUAGGUUGAAUGUAACAAUUCAAUGCCUUGAGGUAUGUUUCCUUCUUAUACCAAUGCUCAACAUAGUUAGCAAUGUCAUACCUUUUUAAAAAAAUCACAAAGUAUAUGGGAGCAGGGUAUGCUUUUCAGCUGCCACAUUCUACAUGUGCACUCUUUCUUUACAAAAUCAACUAUGUGUUUGUAAAUUUCAUCUUGGAUCUCAAAUCUAGUGUCCCCAUUCCAUUUAAAAUCAUGCUUGGUGGCUCUUAUAGAUUACUCUUCAAUGUACCCCAUUGCCAUAUGAGAUAUAUCAUAAUUCCACUUUGUAGCGAAUUCUCUCAUAUUAGUCAUUCUCUCCGUUACCUUCACUCUGAUCUCUUCCAACAUGGUUAUGAUUGACUUGUUCCUAGAAGUAGGUAUCAAACUGUUGAAGGUCUCACACAUAUUAUUCUCCACAAUAUCACACUUACUACGGUCUUUAAAAAAGGCCUUGCACCAUGACUGUUUGGGAUAUCUAAGCAAGUCUUCUAUUAUCUUAUUGCCACCAAAUUCUGCUAACUCAUCUAGUUUAGCCUUCAGAAAUGCUUCAUAUGAAGCUCUUGCACAACCCCAGAAUUUCUUCCUUAUUUCCUCACCACUCUUGGUUUUCUUCCAGUUGCUCCAUAUGUUCCUUGCACACAUUCUAUGCUCUGUAUUUGGCAUCAAUUCAGAUACAGCUUGAACAAGUCCCUUGAAUAACAAAAAUACAAUGUUAGAGUUCAUAUAAUGCAACCUUAAGUAUUAAAGUAAAAUAUGAGAUUAAAACAAUACAUAUACCUUCUGCAUAUCAUACAUAAUUGUUAGUCCUUCACCUUCAGAUUCUGUCAGUUUCAAGUCCUCCAUUAAACACCUAAAAAACUAUGACCCACUGUUCUUGGUCUCUUUCUCAACCACUGUCCAAGCAACAAGGUACAUCUGGUUAUUACCAUCCUUCGUAAUGCAUUACAAUAGCUCACCUUUACACACUCCCUUCAGAAAUACACCAUCAAAGCCAAUUACAUUUCUACACUCUUCUAACCAAUUUGUUUUCAAAGCAUGCAAACAAAUGUAUAUCCCCAUAAAAACCUCUUUACUAGGUUCUAUUUCUUUUGAAGUCCUCACCACAACAGUGCUGCUAGGGUCAGUAGUUCUUAUCAUGUCAGCAUAAUCAUAAAUCCUAACAAACUCCAUUAUGUCUAGCCCUGUCACAUAUUGUUUUUCCUACAUACACACCAUAUGUAAUCCUUAUCAACUCUUGCAACUUCUUAAGCUUUAUGUCAGGCUGAUUAACUCUUUGUAAUGUUUAACUAUCCAAGUUGUGUUAGCAAGCUUGUUCCUUGUGACUAGGAAGCAUGAAUGGACAUGGUAGUAUGUGUUAACAAUGAAGUUCUCUGUGUGGCCCUGUAAACUGUCUAAAAUAUGCCAUCUACAUCUGCUAGAGUUCAAAUAUGUUGCCCUGACCCUAUUCCUCUCAUUUGGUCUCAACUUUAACUGAACUCUCCUCUAUACAACAUAUUCUUGUAAAGCAGAUCUAAAUUGUCUAACAUUUUCAAAGACAAUUCUCAGUUGGAAAAUAAUUUUCUUACAGUUAAGGUCAAAGUAGACCUUUCUACUGUGUCUUCUUGGAGGAAGGUUCCGCACCUCAUCAUCUGCAUCUACAUCAUCAUCAGUACUAUCCUCACUCCUUGGAUCUGAACUGUCUAGGUAUUGCUCAUCCCUCCCAAUUUGCCAGCAUAUUUAGCAUUCUUGUCCUUGUAAAUGUCUUAAAAUCCAAGGUCAAUGCCUACUGGGCCACUAGGUAUCUCAUCUACAUUAACAUCACUAGAUCUCUCUAUCCAGUUCUUCUAAUUUACUUUGGUCUGUCUAGCAGCAACAAGGUCAUCUUCUAUAUUACUAGUCUCUCCAACAACAUCCUCAUCAGCAUCAUAAAGUGACUCAUAUAUAUCCUCUUCAGCAGAAACACCCAUAUAUUCACCAUCCCCACUCUCAGAAUUACUCUCAAAUUCAUCACAAUUUGAAUCUGUGGCUAGAUGAAAGUUGUAGAACUCCCCUUCAUCCUCAGUAGACUCUUCUAUAUCAGCAACCCUCCCUUUACCCUUCCCUUUAGUGAAACAACCACUAUUUAUAUCAUUGGUAGGUGAGUUUAUUUUCCUAACAUUAACUCUACUUGUUUGCCUUUGUGGAACAUCACCAAAGACAGUUGUUUGGUUAUAUGGAAUAUCACUGGGGUCCACACCACUACUUAACAUUUCAUUCAAUUUAUUAUCAACACAUGGUAUAUUAAUAGUGUGACAUAAAUAAAUCCAUUAAUAAAAUCCCCAUCGCGAAGGUCUUUGUAGAAUUCUAACACAUCAGCAUUAUACUUAAUAAAUUAAAAUGUUCCUUUUUAUUGACUUGAUAUGCAAAUUUCUCCACACCUAAGUACCCCAUAUCAUUUGCCAAUUUAGCCAUUUGCUGAAUUGAAUAACAUGAAAUUCAUCAGUGUCAGCAGUUACAAUAGUAGGCCGUGUUAUACCAUUUUCAUACCUCAUUAAUGGGCCAGCUACCAGUUGUCCCUGAUGGUGAAAUUAUAAUUUCACAAAAACAACCAUCCUGCCUCACCUCACUACGCCUAUGGAGAAGAUAAGAUAAGUCCAAAUCAGUAAAAUAUUCAAAAGAAAAAGACAAUAUUGUCUGAACACGUCUUUGAAAAAUAACAAGCAAAUGCAGGAAAAGAACCCUAACUUUAUCACUUUAAGAGGCAAAAAUUUUCGAUAUGAUAAAAAGCCCUAUAUGCCAAAUCAGCCAUGGAACCGACAAAAUUCAGAUAAAAAAUAAGAAUUUAAUGUGUUAUUCCAAAAAUCCCUAAUUUUAAACCCUAAAUAACGAAAGAACCAUUGCAUACAUACAAAAUAUUAUCUAUCAUGACCAACUUUAAUAACGCAUAAAAAUACAAGAAAACAACCAGAAAUAUGAAAGACAACAAUCGAACCUUUAAUGACUUCUAUAUUUAUGGUGGAAGAGAAAUCAACGGUACACGAAAUACUCAGAUUCUUGUUUUGGGAUCGAUUUUGAAAGAAAUAUAAGCACAAUGUUUAGAUGCUCUAAUGGGCGGAAAAUCCUAUGACAAUCGUUCACUCCAUUUGAGCGGACGAUUUAAAAUGUUAGAGUUCUUUGAGAGAGACGACUGAGAAUGAAAAUGAAAUGAGUGCUUAGGUAAAAAAUGAAUGGGAAAUAAGUCAGUGCUUAGUGGGUUUUCGCGCCUAACACGUGGUUGGUUUUAAUUCGUUUAUUGCUGAAUGGGUUGCCAUGUUUGUGAAAUAGUAAUGCACGCGCUAUGAUUCAACUGUCAGAGGUGUUUAUUAGUUCACUUAUUCUCAAGUUGAAGUGUUCAUUUGGGAAUUUUAAAAGUUUAUUUACCGGCAUGCCAAUCGAGUACAAGUUGAAGUGGCCAGAAGGCCUUUUUGCUUAUUGUUAUUGACUUCUAGUAAGUGUCAAGUCGACCCCUCGUCACUACUUCUUUGAGGUUAGACUAGAUACUUAUUGGGUACGCAUUAUUUUUCGUACUCUCGCUACACUUCUGCACUGAUGUGCAGGUACUGAGACGGGCGCGUAGCCGAUCAUCUACGAAGACUUAGUGGUAAGCUGCUUGCUUUGCCUCAAUCCGUAGCACCAGAGUCUCCUUCUACCUUAUUUAUCAUUCGUGUCUAUCACUUUCAGACAGUGGUUUUAGUAGUUUUUGUAUAUUCUCUAAAUUUACUUAUGUACUUGUGACGCCCGGUUUUGGAGAUUUGUAGCAUUUAUGUACUGUUGUACUCGUCAUUUCUAUCAUCGCAGAGUAUGUACUUAUUAUGUUGGCAUUUUGUUUAAAAAGACUUGUCACCGUUGCAUGAAAUCUAGUUUAAAAUGUUCUCUAAAAAGGAAAAUUUUCAUAUUAAAUUGUUAAAGAGGGGUAAAUAAAUAGUAGUUACACUUGUGGGCUUGUCUAACGGCGGCGUUAGGUGCAGUCUCGACCUAUUACGGAUUUGGGUCGUGACACUCCCAUAAUCAAGUUAUUUGCUGCCUUAUCUCAAUUUCAACGCUAAGUCUUGCAUUUUAUUUAGUUUAUUUAUCAUUUUGGGAUCAAAUCGAUCAGCGUGUCUAUAAACCACGUUACAAAUUUAACUGUACCGUUUUACAGGUAAACAAUGAGCACACAAAAAAAAGUUCUUCCUUCAUCUUAGUAUACAUGACAUUAUUUUACUUUAGAACUUCCUAAAAAGUUAAUCAUUGUUACUAAUGAUAUUUCUUUUUAAAUAAUUUACACAAUUCAAAUUUAUCUAAUCAUUCAAAAUUUAAAAUGUAAUAUGAUAUUUGUUACUAUCUAAAUAAAUUUUCAACCACCAUUUUUAACGUUUUCUUCCUAAGUACUGAUAUAUAAAUCAAAAGGAACUUUUAAUGUUCUUGUCCUGCUAAACUCCGUUACUCCACCAUAUAAAAUCAGAAUAAAGAAAAGAUUAAUUUUUUGCACAAGAUGAAAGACUCGUGAUGUUACUUUUUGUAUAGAUAAUUUAUAGGUAUUUUGAGGAGGACAAGCAUAACUAGCAAGAUCAAGUUACACCGGGUUUCAACAUCUAGAGAUAAUUCAUUUUGAACCAUAUAAUUUAACUGCAGCUUCGCAUUUGUUAUUUUUGCAUACAUAUUGCGCAGAGGCGAAGCCACACUGGUAAGGGUGGUUAAUUGACCAUCUUUCGUCGGAAAAUUAUAUUGUAUAUAUAAGUAAAAUAACAGGUUUUAGAUGUAUAUAACAUAUAUUGAACAACCUUUGUCCAAAAUUAUUUUUACUUUUUUUAAGUUUGAACACUCUUGAAAUUAUUUCUGGUUUAUCAUAAUGUAUAACAUAAUUAUAAUGUGCAUAUUAAAAAGUAUAUCAAAUUUUUAUUUUCCUUCUGUGUAUAACACAAUUCAGAUUGAAAACUCAAGUUUUAAGACGACUCCACCUGUGUUUCCCCGUUGUAUCCCGUGUAUAUCAACAUGUACAUAAGUGAAUCUCAUGUAUAUCAUGUGUAUCUGUAUAUAUACAUGAAAAUCUAUGUUAUAUUACAUGAUAUAUAUAUCCAUGAAAAUUUGUGUUAUAUCCAUAAAAAAUUGUGUUAUAUACACGAUAUACAAAGUUAUAUCCACUGACAUCCAUAAAUAUUUGUGUGCAAUAUACACUGAUGUUGAUAUACAACGUGAUACACACAUGUCACAGCUGGAUUUUUAGGUCUAAUUUUUUUACCCGAAACCAGUCUAAAUUACUUCUAAUCUUGCUCAAAUUUUGUAAAACCAAUUUCAAUCACACUCACUCGUUCAAUCCAACAAAAAAAGAAGAGAAGAAAACAAAGUUGAACUCUAUUUUUUCCUAUUUUUUCUCUUAGUUUUUGGUUCUGAUUUUCUCUGAUGUGAGAUCAAUCUUACCUUUUCAUCCCAUUGAUUUUUUGUUGUUGCAUAAUUUGCAAUAAUUUUUACUAAACCAUGAGAGAGAAAGCGGAGAGAUACAAGAAGAAAUAUAAGAAGAGAAAGGGAGAGGUGUAUUGAUGGGAAAAAAGACAUGACACGUGGACUAUAAACAAGGUGAUAUGGCAUGGUACAUGGAACAUCGAUAUAAUGACAAGUGACAUUCUUAAUUAGAUGAGUUAAAGAAAACAUAAAAGGCACGGGAGAAACACCCAGGGGUUAUACCGAGAAAAAAGCCGGACCUGCAGUUGUAAAAAAGAAAAACAUGAACGAAAUGAAUAAAGACUGUAAAGAAGGGAAGAUACACGAACCUGUCAUAAAUAAGGAAGGAAAAUCGGUACAGUUACAAGAAAUAUUUAAUUAUAAAUGUUUAUGUUACAUUUGUAUAUGGUAACGGGCAAUCAAGGCAAUUAAUACCAUUAGUGAGUCCGAAUUAAGUAAGGUAACCGUUAUAAUUGUAUGCUCCUAUAUAAGAAUUGAAAUCUCAUUUGUAAUAGAAGAGACAAUUAUUGAAAUUUAUGCAAUCAUUCUUUACUUUAUUCUCAAAGUUCUAAACCAGUGAUUACCAAUCCAUUUCAUAUUUUCUUUGUUAGUUAUUUCUAUUCCUUGAUUCAUCCUUCAAAUUGUUGGGAAAGUGAAGUAAUUCUUGGUUAUCAGUAAUCCGAUUUCUUCUAGAAAUUGACUUUGGCCGAGAAAUCUAUUUUCGGAUUAAACAAGAGGAAAAAGAAAAAAAUACGUAGGUUAUAGCAAGAGAGAGGGAUGGAAGUUAUAGAGAGAAAAUAAAUAGAAAGUAGUCUUUUCUAAAUUUGGCUCUACAAUAUCAAUUUUCUGGGGGCUGCCCUUGCCAACAUAACCAAUCAAUUUCUCUUUUAUGUUGUUACCCGGUGUCAAUUUCCCAGGAAAAUGUUCAUUCGUUAUACUAGCAAUUCAAGAAGUGAGAGAGAUAAGAUCAAAGGUUCUCCCAUAGUGCUCCUGUGAGUUUAAGCUCUCAAAAAAUGCACCUAAGAUUAAACAUUUUGAAUAGACUCGUAUUGAGUAUUUAGAUUUUUUAAUCAUGUCAAACCAAGGCCAAUCAGGGUUCGACAGAACGCUUGACUUUAGUAAAUGAAUCACAAUUACAUGUUCGUGAGAGUAUACAUUAAUAGAAUGAAUAAAAUAGAAACAUUACAUAAGCCACUAGGGACCGAGAGAAAACGAGCAACACCUUGGAUAAGCCGGUUGUAAUUAUUAGAUAUUAAGUUUCAUUUUGAGCCGAUAAUAGCCACAAUGCCUCUCCUUUUUUCACAUAGUUAAUGUGAAAUAGAGAAGCCCCGGCUCCAAUAAGAUAGCAGUGAAAACAAAUUCUAAGAUUUAAAUUCGUGAAACUAUAAUUUAUAUGUGGUAUUUUAGGUGUUGAAUUGUUCUUUUGCAGACGCCCAACCCGUUUAAUCAAAAAUAUUUAUUAGAAAAUAGGAGAGAAAGAAAUAUGGUAAAAGGAAAAGAUUUUAAUAAAGAUGAUAAUUUGGUCCAAGAGAAGCGUUAGUACAAGAUGCCAUCUACAAAGAAAUUGAGAAAAUGUCUAUAGUGACUCAUUAAGCAUCUCCUAUGUUCUUCCUCUUCAAAUUUGUUUGAAUUGUAUUCAGAAAAUUGCUAGGACUUUUGGAAAGAAGCAAGGAAAAUUUGAUAAAGUACAUGAGGUUUUUUUCUUUUUUUUUCGAGUUAUUGAUUUUUAUUGAAAAAAGAAUACUUGCAAGCAGCGACGAAUGCAUGAUUUCGGUUAAAGGGGUUCAAAAAAGAAAAAAAGUUAAAUCAUUAAAAGAAAUUGUAGCCAGUAAAAAUUAAACCAAUGGCAUCACAAAGGUUUUAAACCCCUUUAACCACUAAGUUAUGUUUUGGGCCAUGUCAAGAAGAUUCAAAACAUAGUAUAUAGAGGUAAAAAAUAGAUUUUGCCUUAUAUAUACAGUGUAAUUUUUCGGCGAACCUCCUUCCACCCCAUAAAUUCGCCCCUGAAAGUGAUAUACANNNNNNNNNNNNNNNNNNNNNNNNNNNNNNNNNNNNNNNNNNNNNNNNNNNNNNNNNNNNNNNNNNNNNNNNNNNNNNNNNNNNNNNNNNNNNNNNNNNNNNNNNNNNNNNNNNNNNNNNNNNNNNNNNNNNNNNNNNNNNNNNNNNNNNNNNNNNNNNNNNNNNNNNNNNNNNNNNNNNNNNNNNNNNNNNNNNNNNNNNNNNNNNNNNNNNNNNNNNNNNNNNNNNNNNNNNNNNNNNNNNNNNNNNNNNNNNNNNNNNNNNNNNNNNNNNNNNNNNNNNNNNNNNNNNNNNNNNNNNNNNNNNNNNNNNNNNNNNNNNNNNNNNNNNNNNNNNNNNNNNNNNNNNNNNNNNNNNNNNNNNNNNNNNNNNNNNNNNNNNNNNNNNNNNNNNNNNNNNNNNNNNNNNNNNNNNNNNNNNNNNNNNNNNNNNNNNNNNNNNNNNNNNNNNNNNNNNNNNNNNNNNNNNNNNNNNNNNNNNNNNNNNNNNNNNNNNNNNNNNNNNNNNNNNNNNNNNNNNNNNNNNNNNNNNNNNNNNNNNNNNNNNNNNNNNNNNNNNNNNNNNNNNNNNNNNNNNNNNNNNNNNNNNNNNNNNNNNNNNNNNNNNNNNNNNNNNNNNNNNNNNNNNNNNNNNNNNNNNNNNNNNNNNNNNNNNNNNNNNNNNNNNNNNNNNNNNNNNNNNNNNNNNNNNNNNNNNNNNNNNNNNNNNNNNNNNNNNNNAACUUCAGCAUGUUUAGACUGAAGUUUCAGAUAAAACUCAUGAAAAAACUAUAGGCUGCAGGAUAAAUAACUUCAACAUGCAUUAGCAUGAAGUUUUAGUUUCAAUGUGAAAUUUUUCACGAAUGAGGUUGCGGAUCACGCGAUUAAUGAGUGAUGCAGAUUUUAUAUCUUUUGUCAGGGGUGUAAUUGUUAUAUUGUUAUAGAUUUUUUGUCAGGUGGCUACCAAAUCAAUAAUUUUUAAAAAUAAGGUACAAGUUAAUAGGUGACACAAAUAUAAGGUACAACUGCAAAUCCCCAAUUUUAAAGAGACUUGACAAGAAAGCCCAAUUUAAAGACCCAAAAGCCUCCACGAGUAACAUAAACCAGUGGGCCCAUUUCCUCCACGAGCCCAAUACAAAACCCUAAUCUAAUUCAUACAUAUAUAUUGUAUCAUUUACUAAAACAUUUUGGGUUAGGUCAUUUUCCAGCAGAAGAGUGGGAGUAAACCAAACAAAAGCAUAACAAUGAAUGCGGCGCCAGCGGCGGCGGAAUCAGUGCAAUGUUUCGGGCGGAAGAAGACGGCGGUAGCAGUAACACACUGCAAGCGCGGUCGUGGCCUGAUUAAGAUCAAUGGUGUACCAAUCGAGCUCGUUCAACCCGAAAUCCUCCGGUACAAAGCCUUCGAACCAAUCCUCCUCUUAGGUCGCCACCGAUUCGCCGGAGUCGACAUGCGAAUCCGCGUCAAAGGAGGAGGUCACACUUCUCAGAUCUACGCUAUUCGUCAGUCCAUAGCGAAGGCGCUGGUUGCCUUUUACCAGAAGUAUGUGGAUGAACAGCAGAAGAAGGAGAUUAAGGAUAUUUUGGUUAGGUACGACAGGACUUUGCUUGUUGCUGAUCCGAGAAGGUGUGAACCUAAGAAGUUUGGUGGUCGUGGUGCUCGUGCUAGGUUCCAGAAAUCUUACCGUUAAAAUUCCUAUUUCGAUUUAUGGUAUCUGUUUUUAUCCCUGUUGGUAUGGUUUUGGUUUAGGAAUCAUUAUGGAUUUACUGCUAUCUGAGAAAGUUUUGGAUUUGGAUAAACUUUAAUAUAGCUGUUUCACAUGCUAUGAAAUAUGAAUGCAAUGAAUUGUGCUUUUAUUUGCAU